rnacentral:rRNA from 1 species
CGAACGCUGGCGGCGUGCUUAACACAUGCAAGUUGCGCCAGAAAGCUACCUUCGGGUAGUGAGUAAAGCGGNGAACGGGUGAGUAACGCGUGGGUAAUCUACCUUUAAGUUAAGGAUAACUUCUCGAAAGGAAAGCUAAUACUUAAUAAUAAUAAAGAUGGCUUUGCUAUCGCUUAGAGAUGAGCCCGCGUCCCAUUAGCUUGUUGGUAGGGUAAGGGCCUNCCNAAGGCAACAAUGGUAGCCGACCUGAGAGGGUGAUCGGCCACACUGGNACUGAGACACGGCCCAGACUCCUACGGGAGGCUGCAGUGGGGAAUCGGAGCAAUGAGUGAUGAAGGCCUUCGGGUCGCAAGCUCUGUCCUUAGGGAAGAACAAACCAGUUGAUAAUACCAGCUGGGCUUGACGGUACCUUUGGAGGAAGCCUCGGCUAAUUACGUGCCAGAAGCCGCGGUAAUACGUAAGAGGCUAGCGUUGUCCGGAAUCACUGGGCGUUAAGGGUGCGCAGCGGGUCUAGUAAGUCAAGAGUGAAAAUAAGAUACCCCGGUAGUCCUAGCUGUAAACGCUGGAUACUAGGUGUUGGGGGGUCAACUCCCCUCGGUGCUGCAGUUAACGCGUUAAGUGUCCCGCCUGGGGAUUACGNCCGCAAGGUUGAAACUCAAAGGAAUUGACGGGGGCCCGCACAAGCGGCGGAGCAUGUGGUUUAAUUCGAAGCAACGCGAAGAACAUUACCAGGGUUUGACAUCCUAUGACCAUCUGUGAAAGCAGAGUUUGGCUCUUUGAGUCACAUAGUGACAGGUGGUGCAUGGCUGUCGUCAAGUCGUGUCGUGAGAUGUUGGGUUAAGUCCCGCAACGAGCGCAACCCCUGUUCUUAGUUGCCAGCACGUAAUGGUGGGGACUCUAAGAAGACUGCCGCAGAAAAAAUGCGGAGGAAGGUGGGGAUGACGUCAAGUCAUCAUGCCCCUUAUACUCUGGGCUACACACGUGCUACAAUGGUCUAAACAGAGGGAANCAAGACUGCGAAUCCAAGCGAAUCUCACAAAUUAGAUCUCAGUUCGGAUUGCAGAUUGUAAUUCAUCUGCAUGAAGCUGGAGUCGCUAGUAAUCGUGGAUCAGAAUGCCACGGUGAAUAUGUUCUCGGGCCUUGUACACACCGCCCGUCACACCACCCGAGUUGGGGACACCAGAAGUCAUUUGCGAUAGCAAGUGCCGAAGGUGUGCCUGAUAAGGGGAGUGAAGUCGUAACAAGGUAGCCGUAUCGGAAGGUGCGGCUGGAUCACCUCCUUAA